CGCUUAUCUGGAUUGGAACGGAUGAUUACAUAUCAAGUUAAUCGGGAUGAACUAAUUAUGAAUUAAUAACAUGUAAGGACGCAACUAUGUCAGUCAUGGAAGAGAGAUCGGCAAGAGAAGUUGACGAUCUAUGGAGAGAUUACAGGAUGUCACAGUACCACAUAUCUUUCUUAAGAUUCAGUUAAUUUUUUAUUUGAGUGAUAUAUUAUUGAGUGAUAUAUUAUUUUCGUAUGUUUUCGCGCGUAAUUAAGGUAUAGUGAAAGUGCCUCGAGUGAUCCGUUCCAGAAUCUGUGUGUGCAAAAUCCUCGUCGCCGAAUUAUUAUAGGGAUCUUUCUUUUGAGGGAGAUGUUUCGAAAGUAGACUGCAGCAAUACGAUAGCAUUUGUCGACCUCCUACAUAGAUAGCGCAUACGAUUACGGAAAGUCGGACGAAAGAUUUAAAUCGAAAUUGAAAUUAAAAGCUAUCAAAUGUAAAUGAUAAUUAACUCACAACAGAUCAUGUUGCAAAAUUUGGAAGAAUUUCCUGAAAAUGGUAUUAAGAGAAAAUAUCGAUAGAUGCAAUAAAUUAUUGAAGACUGUCAGGAAGAACAAUUGUUGCUGUAGAAAAAUGCUCAUCGAAAUUAUAGUUUACAGAAAUAAGAAAAACAUUCAGAAAGAUUCUUUGUUAUUGAGAAAGAAUAUUUUAGAAAAGCAUUAUUGAACGGUAAGCAGAAUUUAAUGUUGAAUACGAAAAAAGAUAUAAGAAAAAGUUUUUAAAAGAAGAUAUUAAGAAAUCUAAGAAGAUAUUAAGAAAUUUAAAGAAGAAUAUUUAAAGGAAAGCAAUCGCCAAAAUCCAAUAUUAGUGGGAAACAUAUGGGAAUAUUUAUGAUUGUUAAAGAGAGAGUUGAGAUAAUUCAUUAAGGAAAUAUUAUUAGUCAAAACACAUAAUCAAGAGGAUUUAAUAUUGUAACAUUAAUGAAAAGUCAUAAUAGUUCUUUAUUGAAGACAGACGGGACCAAUAAAAAUGCUAAUAAUAGUCUUCCGUGGCCAAAACAGAAUGCUGAAGAAUAUUGUUAGCGAAGACGGAUUUUGAAAAAUAUUUGACACAAGAAAAUAUUGAAAAGGAUUUAUUAUUAUUAAAAAUGAAUAUUGAGAAGAAUAUAAUUGACAUCUUUCAUUGACAACAAAAAAUAUUGGAGAAAUUAAAUUUUUCUUGAAGAAGUUUGUUUAAUAUCCAUUUCGAUAUCUAUUACUGACAAGUAAUUCUAAAGAAAGAUACACACAUUUGAUGAACAAAAAUAAUAAUUUGCUAUUAACGAUAAAGUUUAAAUGAUCUAUUAAUGUAAUUGAUCAAAAAAGAUCUUAUAUUUAGUAGAAAAAGAUUUUGAGAAAGUUUCACAAUUGACAAUCAGAAGUUUCUUGUUAUCACAAGAAAAAGACAUUCUUAAUAAAACAAUUACAUUUAACAGAAAGGAUUAUUUAAAUGAAUCUAUAUUGGUCUAUAUUUAAUUACACGUUUAGUGUGGAGAAUGUGGGAUUGUAUCUGAUGAAUGUAUAUCUUGUUAAAGAUGACUCAAAGUAGAUCCAAAACAUACUCAGCAAGCUCUUCAAAGAUCUUAAAAGAAGGCACGAAAAGGAAGCAAUAGUAUCUACAAAGCAAAGCGCCGUCAGAGAAGGAUUCGCCUGGUCAAGGGUCAACAAGAUUCGAUAACAACGGGUCAGCUGAUAAAUAUUCUGUCGUGAAAUGUAAACUUACGGUUUCAAAUCGCUUUGCGGAACGUCAGUUGAUCGCAAAACCACCCGAAGAGCAUAUAAAGAUCUUCAAGAUUCUGUCUUGUUGCGAAUAGCUAGAUAUCUAUAAAGGAAAUUCACAAAUUAACUUCGUAACGGAGUCCAUUGAAAGUGUGUCAAAAUAUUUGAAUUUUGAAAAAGAUUCUAAGAACUUCAAGAAUUUAAUUGAAAUAAUUAAAAUAAAAAGUUUUAAUGAAAACUUGAAAUGUUGAAUCGUCAAAGUGCAGAAACCUAAAAGAAAUAUUAAAAGAAUCAAUUAUUAUAUGAAAUUAUACAGAAAAAUAAUUGGAAAUAAUUACCGAAGUAGAAAUUAAUAGCUUAUUUACUUUCGAAAUAAUUGAUAAUUCCAUUUCAUUAAUUAAUUCAAAGAGAUUCGCAAAAAUAUUUUGGACUUAUGAAGCAUUAUUUCUAUAAUUUUGUAAAUCUACCAUUUUGUAGAUUGCUAUAUUAAUAAUAUAUUCUAAAAGAAUCCUUAAGAAAGAGAAUGCGAAGAAAGAUCUAUUAGAUAAAAUAAAUGAUUUAAUUACAAAGAUAAAAAAUCCUGAAAAAA